GGGGCGAUAGCUCAGUUGGUAGAGCAUCUGCUUUGCACGCAGAAGGUCAGGGGUUCGAAUCCCCUUCGCUCCACCA
rnacentral:tRNA from 5 species